AAAAGAGGAAGUUCGCUAGUCCACCGCUCGCUGUAUGCGCAAGCCCCCGCGAGCAUCGCCCUCCAGCAUCCCACAGGAUUUCUCAUUCCCAAACCUUGACCAGAUGGAAGAGGAAGCUGGGAGGAAAAGGAAGAUGCUACAGGACACCCAGGCAACGAAUUGAGGGCAGAGACCAUGGAGGACAAAUCUGCCUGGCAGAACCUCGGGGAAGAGGCUGUUUUGAAUGGCUCCACUGUGCAGG